CUUGCCCUCAGCGCCGCCUCCUCUCCUUCCUCUCUCUCCCUCUGCGCCACCUCUUCUCCUCCUCUUCAUGCGUGGCGGCGUCUCGUCAUCCCCAGCCCCCGCCCAUCCCCAGCCUCCCCAAUCCCCUCCUCCCGCAUGAACCCUAGCAGAGAGAGAAGAUGAGAGGGAGAGAGAGAAGAUGAGAGGGAGAGAGAGAAGGAAGGAGAGGAGAGGAGGGAGAAAGAGAGAGGAAAGAGGAGAGGGAGGUGUGGCGGCUGACGGGAGAGGGUCAUCGGCCGGCGUCGGCCUGCGUCGACGAGAUCUGCUCUGCUUGUUUUGGUUCCUUUUGAUUGAUGCAUUAUUUUUGUCUAUUUCUGUGUACCCAGGUGACUAUGCAAGUUGCAUUGACAGAAUCCAUGUACUAAACUGGGGCAUUUUUGGCAGCUGCAGCAACCUGACAAUUAAUUCGUUCUCGUCCAAGGUAAUUUACUUCCCCCCUUUAUGUAUCAUGGAUGGAUAUAUGUGAUGGUUGGUUGUCAUUACUGAAGCAAGAAUUAUUGAUGAUGACUACCUUUCGAGCAGGUUUACCGCUCGUCUUGCUAAUGUUAAUUUGUAUGUUUUCAUUUUUUCUUCUUCUCCAUUUUGUUGUAUAAUCUAUGGACGUUGUCCAGAAAGUAUUUUGCAACUUCAGAAAUCCAAAAUUAUGGUUAUGAUGUUAAUGACCAGGAUGAUGUGAUAGCCUCUUUUGAUCCGUAUCUUUUUUUUCGAAGCUUGAAAGAUAUACUUGCAGUAUGGUCUGUGGAUCUCCUUUGCUUUGUCAUACUGAACCCAUUUUGGAACAAUAUGGCAUCAAAGCAUUUGUUUUUUGUCCAGCCAAUAAUGUAAUGGUCUAUGGGCAAAUAAAUCAUGGUUUAAAUCAGGCUCUUUAUUUCUCUUUUGAUUGAUUUAAGGUAUUCACAUAUAUAAUGGUUCCCAAUACCCAUAGAAUUAUUGGUUUUAAUUGGCUUCUUGGCUUCUUGCGUCCGCGGGUCAUCUAGCGCUGCCGACAUCGUUUUCUAUCAGGCUCACUUCCUAUCUUAUAUUGAUUGUUGUACUGCACUACCUCAGUUUUAAAGAUCAGCAUCCUAAAUUCCUAAUCGAACCAGAAAAGCACAGGUGAGUACCAGCUAGCCUCUCUAUACUAAUUGUCUACACAUUGGUUUCUCCUGCUCUCUGCUCUUUACUAUGCUAAUAUUUCAUUCGAUCUAAGUAAUUAGGCCCCAGAGCAUAUAUUCUUCACCAAAAAUAAAAACUGUGUAGUAAACUCACUUAGAUAGUUCCCAGAUUUUACAUACUUCCUAUUUUUGUCAUGCACACAAGAUGUUUAAUGAUGUGUCUACAAACAAAAAAACAGAUAUUUCAUGUCUUUGCUUUGGCCUGCUGAAUACCUUCCUUGCAAUACCUUUGCUAUGCACCUAUAUGAAUUUACUUUACCCUUACAAUGACCAAGACAGCAGAUAUUAUCAUAUUAAACAAGCCAAUACAGAGACAAUCCUUUGCUUUUCUUGCUUAGUUUUACCUAAUUAUCAGCAGAUCAAUAGGCUAUAUAGAACCUCCAACCUGUUCACUCUGAAUCCUACUGAAGACCAUCCUAUGGAGAAACAGGAGUACUGGCCCUUCGAACUACCUACAAGACCCCGAGGUGCAACCGGCCAUGGCAAGGCAGGAGAUGUCGAGAGGAAUUUCCCUCCUGGAUAUUGCAGACACUACGUGCCAUUGCCCAUUACAAAUCUGCCUAGGAGUGCAUGGGAAAAUGUUUACAUUUAAGCAACCUCAGUUGCAGAUUUUUUAUAUUUGUUCACUCAAGAGGCCAUUAGUCUAUACCAGCGAUAGAGACAGCUUCCCUUUUCACUACUGUAGAACAUAUGAAGGUUUAGCACUCAAGGGAGUUAAUUGGCAUAAAUCUCAUCUGUCGCGAUUUGAUUUGCAUGGCUCUGAACCUAGGCAGCAAUGAUAUAAGCGUAUUUAUAUAUACUUUUGCAUCACGAAGUUCGCCAGCAAACAGCACAAUGCUCAUAAUGAAUGGAAAGAUAUUACCCUAUAUAGCAGCUGAACUGUGUGUGUUUCAUUCCUAUAAAUGUGUACUGGGACAAUGCUUACAAUGCUCUCUCUCUCUCUCUCUCUCUCUCUCUCUCUCUCUCUCUCUCUCUCUUACACACAGACAAUCACGGUUGUUCCUGUAUUAUCCUUGUAUAUGCAAACUACUUUUUGUUUCUUAUACACAACGACCUAUGUUCUAUGUUGGGUACAUAUUUUUGCACUUCUUUUGAAAUUAUUAUGGUGCAUAUGUGAUAUACCUAGCUUGUAUUAAUUUCCAGGGUAUAUUCCAGUCAUAAUGGAGAUGCUUGUGAUAAGUUUGGUAUCUUCCUCUGCUACAUCUUUUGGUGUUAUGGGCCGUUCCUAGAUCUCUAUAUUUUGCAAGAGGCCAUGUUAUUUUGGUAUGUACAAGCUAUUUAAGAGGGCCAAGAAGGCGGAAUAACCUCGCUUAUACAGUUUCUGACUGCUAACAGUGCCAUCAUCAAUGAGCUUCACUCUAAAGUCUGUUCAUGAGAGGGUUGGGCUUCCUUCAAUGCUAGGGCUGAAAUUGGAGAAUAAACAAGGGGUUGACAUGCCUGUGAAGUUCUAUUAGGACAGCGUCUCUCCGCGUUCUCGAUCCGGCGCCGCCACAUAUCGUGAUUCUGGAUCGGGCGCAGGUCGUCGCCAUAAGAGAGCCUGGCUGGUGUGGUCUUCACGCUUGGUGUGGAGAAGCACGGGAGGAUGAGUAGGACGGGCAUGGGGAAGGAGCAGCCAGGCCGGAGCUCCGGCGUUCCUCGUGUCAUGGUCGAAUGGAGCCGGCCAUCACUAUGGGCUUCUGCUCGCCGGUCGUCGUUCCCCAAUCUCAGUUGCUCAUCUUUGGCUUCACCAUCUUCCUCCCCUGAUCAUGCAUCUAUUUUAAAUCAUAUAAUUAUGCUAUAUCAUAUAUGUUGUUUAGUUCAGACUUGUGCAUGCGCAUGCAUUGGCAUUGAUUUAGACAGAGAUAUUGCAUGAUUUGUACAUAGAAGGAGUACGGAUGAUCUAGGAAUAAAUGUUUGAAUAAAGUUAGUAGUGAGAUUUAGGUAGAGGUUACCUGCACUGUUCUGUUUUAUGUAGAUUCUAAGAUGCAAAAUCA